ACAAGGUUCCUUAAGGUUACAGCCUGGGGUGGUAAUGGGGACAAGCUCCCAGUAAUGUUAAGUGCUCCCAAUGGCGGGCGCCUCAAAGUCCGGCCCCUGGUCUUCACCUGUGGCUGAGCGACGAAACCCGGCGGAACCGUUCCUACCGACAGGUGAAGGGGCAAAGGCGGUUUUCUGGCGCCUCAAAACAAGCCGCUUCGGGCAGAUGGGGCUCAUUAGCCGUGGUUGGCAGCUCAUCUGGGAUUGGGAAACUCUGAUCUCAAAGUCCCGCUGCCUUGCGGCUAUACCCACCCAUGGGGCAGGCUUCGGGAGUAGCAAACAUCCGGAGCUGGAGUCCCUGAGGCUGAGUUCGACGCUGACUGGCAGCUCCUGUGACGCUGCUGGUACCAGACUGCUACAUGGACAACCGCUCUCCAUGUUGUCCUUGCAUAUCUAGACAGCUAGGACACAAUAGCUCACUGAUCAACUCUGACCGUCCGGAGGCCUCAGCAGUGCAUAAAAGACCAAAAAAGUGAGGUUGUUCAUUCUGAAAUCUAAUGGUAGAAGGGAAGGAGCUGUCAUGAACAUGUUCAGACUCCCCUACUCCUUGGUGGCAGUAAUGAGAAGACAGAGGUCCUGAAUAAUGGAUGUCUCCUUGUUGAGGCAUUUCCUUUUGGAGGUGUCCUGGAUGCUGGGGUCGGGAGUGUCCACGAUAGAGCUGGCUGAGUUUGCAACUUUCCGCAUCUUUUUUCCGACCCUGUGCAGUGGCCCCUCCAUGCAAGACAAUAAUAUAGCCUGUUAGAAUGCUCUCCACAAUGCAUCUAUAAAAAAUAGCAAUUCUUUGGAGACCUACAGUACAAAUUCUCCUCAAACACCUAAUAACAUAUAGCCACUGUCAUGCCUUCGUUGUAGUUACAUGAAUACUCCAUGUUGGGCCCAGGAUAAAUCCUCAGGGAUCUGAAACUGCUCACUCUUUCCACCGCUCAUUCCUCGAUGAGGGCAGGUAUGUGCUCUCCCCCGACUUCCCUUCCUGAAGUCCACGAUCAAUUUACUGACGCUGAGUGCAAGCUUGUUUUAUUUCAACACCUCUCAACCAGCUGAUCUAUCUCGCUCCUGUACGCCUCCCCGUCACCAUCCGAAAUUCUGCCAACGACUGCCUGCAGGUGGUGCCUGGCCGCAGUGGGGGGUGGAACGGGAGCAGGGCAGCGGGUUGGGCACGCUAAGCGGCUGCGGAUGCUGGAAACAUUGAGCAGUGCACGGGAGAUUCUGCAGGAAUGGCCACCCUGGUCCCUCUUCAGUUCCUCUCUCCACCACGUUUCAGCCAAUAGAAACACAGUAAAACUCCCUGCAGUAUUUUGUGUUUCCCCUCCACAGAUGCUGCCAGAGUAGCUGAGUUCCUCCAGUGUUUCAAAGUUCAAAGUGAAUGUAUUAUCGAAGUACAUACAUCUUACCAUAUACAACCCUGAGACUCACUUCCCUGCAGGCAUUCACAGGAGAAUAAAGCAGUGCACUAGAAUCAAUGAAAAACUAUACAUAAAGACUGACAAACAACCCAAGUUCAAAGUGCAUUUAUUAUCAGAGUAUGUAUACUUAUACAACCUUGAGAUUUAUCUCCCUACAGGCUGCCAAAACAAAAAGAAUCCCAUUAAAAGAAGACGGAUUUCGACUAAGCGACAAAUUAUUAAAAUUCGUAAACAAGACGAUUGAAAAAGAAAAAGAAAAGAAGACGGUCAAACACCCCAUGUGCAGGGGGGAAAAAAUCAAAUCGUGCAAACAAUGACAUUCAGAACUGAUGUCCAGGAACGUAAGUCCACAGCCAGUAAGCCGGUCAUCACUGCAGACCAUCCAAUGGCCCGUGGGUUGCAGGCUACGGGCUCAGUUCACCGCAGAGAAGAGUGGACCUCUCAGAUCAGCGAGCUUGUCGCGACCCUCACCUCACCUUCUCAAUCUGACCUGGUGCUUACCUCGGGACAUUCCUCAGUCUCAGACCCAGGCCCCGCUGCUUCAAUGUGCUCUCGGGCCCAGGCCUUGAUUUGGGCCCUUGGCCCGGCACUUAAAUCAACCAAACAGUGGGUCAUUCCUCAGUCUCAGACCCAGGCCCCGCUGCUUCAAUGUGCUCUCGGGCCCAGGCCUUGAUUUGGGCCCUUGGCCCGGCACUUAAAUCAACCAAACAGUGGGUCAUUCCUCGCUCUCGGGUUCGGGCCUGGGCCUCACAGCCUCAAUUUGGCUCGUACCCACUAAGCCACAACCAUCCUCCACCUUCGAGACUGCAGUUCACGCCACAGAAGUUGCAGUUCAUACAGGCGAUUCAAAAGCUCAACUCCGAAAGGGAAGUGACAGGCUAUGGACUGCAGUGAUCGUACCUGGCAAAAAGGGAGAUGAAUACAGUCAUUUACAGUAUCGUUUGUUUGGUUUGCUACCAGCAAGUUGUCGCUGUGCUUCAGCAGCACCGUCUUGAAAGGGAAUGUGCAAAAGAAGACAAGCCGUGCUUAACCGCAGGGAACGUGAGUUGUAGAGUCCAUAGGUUGUGGAAUCAGUUUGUAGUUUUACUUAGAGAUGUAGCCUGGAGCAGGUCUGUCCAGCCCACCGUGUCACGCCGACCAGCAAUUCACCAAUUUAACCCUAGCCUAAUCACAGGACAAUUUACAAUGACCAAUUAACCUGCUAACCAGUGCGUCUUUGGACUGUGGGAGGAAACCGGAGCACCCGGAGGAGACCACACAGUCACAGGAAGAAACUACAAAGAGAAGAUGCCGAAAUUGAACUCUGAUCUCCGCGCUGUAAUCGUGUCGCGCCACCCGCUACGUUUAGCACUGAGAGGUGGGGGAGGACCAAGGGAAUGUGUGCAAUCGGGCGAAGAGCAGAGUUGAUGGAAGAGAUUCUGCAGAUGCAGGAAAUCUUCAGGUUUCAUUAUCAUUCAACCCUGCGUGAAUGUAGCUAAAUGAAGCAGCAUUCCUCUAAGGUGCAAAACACCAGCGGCAAAGAGCACACUGAACUUUGCACGAAUAGCACAUAUGGUUAACAGUUCAGGAGAAAACAUACAGUCACAGUGAGAGAAAAAAACCCCCAAGUCCCGGAGUUGUCCCGGUUCUUCCAGAGCGAACACCAGAGGGCAGCACCAAGAUAACACGUACAAGUGAAAACCUGUCGGUGCUGGAGAUCCGAGAAACGCCCACGAAAUGCUGGAGGAACUCAGCUGGUCAAGCGUCAUCUUUAGGGGAAAAUGCUUUCAUUUCAGGCCAGCAGCAUCCAUGUCGAUAUUUCUGGCACUUCCCAGCACAGUGUAUCAGUAAAUAUUUAUAGGGCAUCGCAGUUCAAGACUAAAUAAUUGUAUAAUGAAUUUUGUUGGUCAGCGCAAGUUCAGGUAUUAUAUACUGUAUGAGAUUAUUAUUUAUUUUACUUCAAAGUAAGUAUUACAGGGAAGCAUCUCUUAAGUAAGAAUGUUUUUGAUCAUUUGCAAUUCGUGAGUUGUGAGUUAAUUGCUUACUUUUUUAUUGAUUGCAUGGUUUUUUUUUGCACAUUGGGUGUUGGUCAGCAUUUGUUGUAAUGGGUUAUUUCUGGAUUCUAUUGAUUGAUUUUUGAUUUUCUUUUGUGAUUACUAGAGUGAGUAGUUUACAUUAUAACUUUUCAUGCCAACCUUGUAGUUCAAAGUACUUUACAAUGGGAUAAAGUGCAAACAUGACUUAAAAGACAAAAACGUGUUAGUUAAAAGCAAAGUAAAAUUAAAUAGGUUUUGAGCUCAUGUUCAAAAGUGUCAGCUGAGUCUGCAUGCGUUAUGGUUUUGGGGAUUGAGUUGACACUUUAGCAGAGUAGUUCAGAAAAGCUGAUUUACCAAAUAUCUUUCGAGGGGGACUGCUUAAUUUUAAGAGACCUGAGAGCUCAAGCGGGAUUAUAAAACAAAAAUGAUGCAGUGGUGCACUUCGGGCCCAGACCAUUAAAAGUUUUAAAAACAAGUAAGAAAACUUUGAAAUCGAUUCUAAAAGAUACAGGAAGCCAGUGCAGGACAGGAGUGAUAUGCUCCUUCAUAGUAGUUUUAGUUAGAAGUCAAGCAGCGGCAUUCUGAAUGAGUUGAUGUUUGCCAAUAGAUUGCAUUGGAAGGCCAGUGAAAAGUGCACUGCAGUAAUCUAGCCUAUUCGAUAUAAGGAUGUGAGUUAGUUCUUCAGUAUCACAUAAAAAUAGUUCCGUCAAAUUUGAAGAGUAGUCCUAAUGGAGCAGAUAUUUACUUAGAACUUUUUUGGAAGAGCAGUUAAUGAGCAGUCUGUCUCGAGCUCAGAAACUCAGAUUAUUCAAUUCAAAUCGCAUAGGGUUUGAGUCGCUCUGUGACUGCAUUCAAAGGCAACUGAAAACAAUCACAAGAUUAAAUAAGGAAGAAAUAUGAUCUAAGUGACUGUUGAAUGAUUGUUGGUGCUAGAUGGGGUGGGUUGAGUAUUUCAUAAGCUGAUUGGGGAUUUUCACACACAAGAGUUCUCUAGAAUGUACAGAGAAUGGUGUGAAAAGCAAAACACAUCCGGUGAGUAGCAGUUCUGUGCACAAAAAUACCUGGUUAAUGAAUGGCCAGACUGGUACUGUGGUGAACUACAUAUACCUGUGUGGACACGCCCCCUGCUGACUGCUCCUGUGACCCCUCCCACAGACCCCGGUAUAAAGGCAAUUGAGGCCUGAGCCCGGCCCUCGGUCUCCAGGAUGUAGUAUGGUGGUCAACUACUGCUUGUUCUUAAUUCCAGUCAAUAAUAUCUCGCCUUCAGGUCUCAGAGAGAGUUAUUGAUGGUGCGUCAGGUACCAGCUGACAGGAAGGUGGCAAUAACUAUGUGUUACAACAGUGGUGUGCAGAAGAGCAUCUCUGAAUGCACUUGCUGAACCUUGAAGAAGAUAAACUACAGAAGCAGUAGACCAUGUCUAUACACUCAGUGGGCACUUUAUUAUGUACAGGAGGUACCUACUAAAGUGACUAUUGAAUGUAUGUGUAUAUAUAUAUUUUUUCAAAAUUAAAUAAUAUGUUUUGAACAUGAAUGAACAAAAAGUAAAAUAUCAGUCAGUCAACUCAAGCUUUCCAUUCUGUAGAUCGGGAUUGAGUUCAAGAGCCGAGAGGUAAGGUUGCAGCUAUAAAGGGACACUGGUCAGACCCCACUUGGAGUACUGUGCUCAGUUCUGGUCCACAGGAAGGAUGUGGAAACUAUAGAAAGGGUGCAGAGGAGAUUUACAAAG